rnacentral:misc_RNA from 1 species
UCAAACUUGGUCAUUUAGAGGAAGUAAAAGUCGUAACAAGGUUUCCGUAGGUGAACCUGCGGAAGGAUCAUUAUCGAGUUUUGAAAGUGGGCUUUGAUGCUGGCAUUCUUUGUGAUGCAUGUGCUCGGCUCCGCUCAAAUCCACUCAACCCCUGUGCACUUUCGAAGUUGGUUGUUGGUCCUCCAUCAUGGGAGCAGCUCUCGUAGUGGGAGCCGGGGCCGAUCGACUGCUUCGCAAUAUUAUUCUACAAACUUGUUUUUGUUGUACUGUGAAUGCAAUAGACCCUUUAUACGGUCGCAAACUUAAUACAACUUUCAACAACGGAUCUCUUGGCUCUCGCAUCGAUGAAGAACGCAGC